rnacentral:rRNA from 1 species
ACGCCUGCCCAGUGAACAAUUAAACGGCCGCGGUACCCUAACCGUGCAAAGGUAGCGUAAUCAUUUGUCUACUAAUUAUAGACCUGUAUGAAAGGCAAAAUGAGGGCUUAACUGUCUCUUAUAGUAAAUCAAUUAAACUGAUCUUCUAGUAAAAAAGCUAGAAUUACCACAUAAGACCAGAAGACCCUGUGAAGCUUAAACUAAACUAUUAAACCUAAUGAUAACUACUUUAGGUUGGGGCGACCUUGGAAAUAAGAAUAACUUCCAAAAGUCUAUGACAAAAACAGGCUAACAAGCCAAUAUAAAAGACCCAGCAACGCUGAAAAUUGAACCAAGUUACUCCAGGGAUAACAGCGCAAUCUUCUUCGAGAGCCCAUAUCAAAAAGAAGGUUUACGACCUCGAUGUUGGAUCAGGACAUCCUAAUGGUGCAGAAGCUAUUAAGGGUUCGUUUGUUCAACGAUUAACAGUCCUACGUGAUCUG